UACAGAGGGUGCGAGCGUUAAUCGGAAUACUGGGCGUAAAGCGCGCGUAGGCGGCUUUGCAAGUCGGGUGUGAAAUCCCCAGGCUUAACCUGGGAACUGCAUUCGAGACUGCAUUGCUAGAGUCCGGAAGAGGAGAGUGGAAUUCCCGGUGUAGCGGUGAAAUGCGCAGAUAGUCGGGGAAGAACACCCGUGGCGAAGGCGGCUCUCUGGGACGGUACUGACGCGUGAGACGCGAAAGCGUGGGGAGCGAACAGG
rnacentral:rRNA from 1 species